CGUCGCCGAGGGCACGCCGGUGCCCCAGUGGGCGGCGGAGUUCGACGGGUGGCUGCAGGAGGCGCUCCUCGCGGGCGGGAGGCACGACGACGUGAAGCAGUACGAGGAGAAGGCGCCGAACGGUAAGAUGGCGCACCCGUCGCCGGACCACUUCCUCCCGCUGCACGUCGCGCUCGGCGCCGCCGGUGAGGGGGCCAAGGCGG
rnacentral:misc_RNA from 1 species